AAAGCAGGAAAUUGGACAAUGGACGCAAGUCUGAUCCAGCCAUUCCGCGUGCAGGAUGAAGGCCCUCGGGUUGUAAACUGCUUUUGUACGGAACGAAAAGGUCUCUAUUAAUACUAGGGGCUCAUGACGGUACCGUAAGAAUAAGCACCGGCUAACUACGUGCCAGCAGCCGCGGUAAUACGUAGGGUGCACCGCGUUAAUCGGAAUUACUGGGCGUAAAGCGUGCGCAGGCGGUUAUGUAAGACAGAGGUGAUAUCCCCGGGCUCAACCUGGGAACUGCCUUUGUGACUGCAUAGCUUUAGAGUACGGUAGAGGGGGAUGGAAUUCCGCGUGUAGCAGUGAAAUGCGUAGAUAUGCGGAGGAAAAACACCGAU
rnacentral:rRNA from 1 species